CGCACAGCGAAGCUGAAAGUUCACCCGCGUAAAUUGGCAAAAAUCUGUCGACGUACUGCAAGUUUGCUCUGCGACCAUCUGCUGUACGCUGAUUUGAGUUGGUCUGACAUCGAAGACCUCUUUCUACCGUUGCCAGAAGCGACUUACCGACGACAUGGCCGGCGGCAGUACACGUCUCGCAAAGGAUGGCUCGACGUCGGAAGUAUUGAAGAUGACGUCUUUCGGAGAAUGUUCCGUUUUGAGAAGGCAAAUAUUGAUGAAUUGUCAUCUGCUCUCUUAAUUCCCGAUACGAUUGAGAGCAUUCAGGGAGUACACGUAUCCGGUAAAGAAGCUCUCCUGAUUGCCCUCCGGCGACUCGCAUAUCCUAAUAGGCGGACCGAUUUAGAAGACGUUUUCGGACGACAUACCUCCGUGAUGUCCAGCAUAGUUGCCUCUGUCUUCGGCCACAUUGAGACGACCUUCGGUCACUUCCUGUCCUUGACAAAUCAUCGUUGGCUGAACCUCGCCAACAUCGCUCCGUUUUCCCAGGCUGUGCAUGAUCGAGGUGCACCUUUGACUAAUUGCUGGGGUUUCGUCGAUGGAACUGCUCGACCGAUCUGCCGACCAACGUACAACCAGCGAAUGUACUUCUCCGGGCACAAACGGGAGCACGUUGUCAAAUAUCAGGCCAUUAUAUGUGCCAACGGCAUCGUCUGCGACCUUGCCGGCCCAUAUUUAGGCCACAGGCAUGAUGCAGGAAUACUUCGGGAAAGCGGGCUGUAUGAGAAGCUUCUCCAGUUGAUGCAGGGCAAUACAUUCACUAUAUACGGUGAUCCUGCUUACCCCCUCCGCCCUCUGCUCAUGCGGCCAUAUGCUGGUGCAUGUCUGAAUGUACAGCAGCAAGAAUUCAAUACUGCCAUGAGCGCUGUAAGGCAGUAAAUAGAAUGGGAAUUCGGCAAGACGAUCAGCCUGUUUGCCUUCUUGAACUACAAAAAAAUCAGAAAGUCUUUCUCCAGAAUGUGCCACAAAUGUACCAAGUAGCAACGAUUUUAACCAACUGCCACACUUGCCUUCAUGGCAACCAAGUGGCAAUGUUCUUUCACCUUCGUCCUCCUCCUCUGAAAGAAUACCUUGUAUUACA